rnacentral:tRNA from 1 species
GGGGGUAUAGCUUAGUGGUAAAGCACAUGCUUGGCGUGCACAGAGUCCUGGGUUCAAUUCCCAAUGCCUCUG